CAAUAGCGUAUAUUAAAGUUGUUGCAGUUAAAAAGCUCGUAGUUGAAUUUCGGGUCCCCGCGCUCGGCGCUUCAUUGUGCCGUCGUGGCGUCCCUCCUCGCCGUAAGGCGUCCUUUACUGUGAAAAAAUUAGAGUGUUCAAAGCAGGCAAUCGCUUGAAUACAUUAGCAUGGAAUAAUAAGAUAGGAUCUUGUCUAUUUUGUUGGUUGCGGACAACGAUAAUGAUUAAUAGGGAUAGUUGGGGGUGUCCGUAUUGAGCUGUCAGAGGUGAAAUUCUUGGAUUUGCUCAAGACGAACUACUGCGAAAGCAUUCACCAAGGAUGUUUUCAUUAA
rnacentral:rRNA from 1 species